AGCAGCAGCCGCGGUAAAACGAAGGGUGCAAGCGUUACUCGGAAUUACUGGGCGUAAAGCGUGCGUAGGUGGUGGUUUAAGUCCGUUGUGAAAGCCCUGGGCUCAACCUGGGAAUUGCAGUGGAUACUGGGUCACUAGAGUGUGGUAGAGGAUAGUGGAGUUUCCGGUGUAGCAGUGAAAUGCGUAGAGAUCGGAAGGAACAUCUGUGGCGAAGGCGACUAUCUGGGCCAACACUGACACUGAGGCACGAAAGCGUGGGGAGCAAACAGGAUUAGAUACCCGUGUAGUCCCUGUCUCUUAUAC
rnacentral:rRNA from 1 species